AAUGAACGUUGGCGGCGUGGAUUAGGCAUGCAAGUCGAGCGAGAAUCGUAGCAAUACGAGGACAGCGGCGAAAGGGAGAGGAACACGUGGAUACGUACCCUCGGGUUCAGGAUAGCCAUGGGAAACUAUGGGUAAUACUGAAUAACAUCUCCGGAUCAAAGGUGUGAUUCCGCCCGGGGAGCGGUCCGCGUCCUAUUAGCUUGUUGGUGAGGUAACGGCUCACCAAGGCAAAGAUGGGUAUGGGGUGUGAGAGCAUGCCCCCACUCACUGGGACUGAGAAACUGCCCAGACACCUACGGGUGGCUGCAGUCGAGAAUCUUCGGCAAUGGGCGCAAGCCUGACCGAGCGAUGCUGCGUGCUGGAUGAAGGUCUUCGGAUUGUAAACAGCUGUUGGGGGGGAUGAAGUGCAUGGGAGCUAUCUCCUGUGUUUGACAGAGCCCCAGAGAAAGCGCGGGCUAAGUUCGUGCCAGCAGCCGCCGUAA
rnacentral:rRNA from 1 species